CCUACGGGAUGCUCCAGUGGGGAAUAUUGCACAAUGGGCGCAAGCCUGAUGCAGCUAUGCCGCGUGUAUGAAGAAGGCCUUCGGGUUGUAAAGUACUUUCAGCGGGGAGGAAGGCGGUAAGGUUAAUAACCUUGUCGAUUGACGUUACCCGCAGAAGAAGCACCGGCUAACUCCGUGCCAGCAGCCGCGGUAAUACGGAGGGUGCAAGCGUUAAUCGGAAUUACUGGGCGUAAAGCGCACGCAGGCGGUCUGUCAAGUCGGAUGUGAAAUCCCCGGGCUCAACCUGGGAACUGCAUUCGAAACUGGCAGGCUAGAGUCUUGUAGAGGGGGGUAGAAUUCCAGGUGUAGCGGUGAAAUGCGUAGAGAUCUGGAGGAAUACCGGUGGCGAAGGCGGCCCCCUGGACAAAGACUAACGCUCAGGUGCGAAAGCGUGGGGAGCAAACAGGAUUAGAUACCCCCGUAGUC
rnacentral:rRNA from 1 species